UACGUAGGUGGCAAGCGUUAUCCGGAUUUACUGGGUGUAAAGGGCGUGUAGGCGGGAAAGCAGGUCAGAUGUGAAAACCACGGGCUCAACCUGUGGCCUGCAUUUGAAACUGUUUUUCUUGAGUACUGGAGAGGCAGACGGAAUUCCUCGUGUAGCGGUGAAAUGCGUAGAUAUGAGGAGGAACACCAGUGGCGAAGGCGGUCUGCUGGACAGCAACUGACGCUGAGGCGCGAAAGCGUGGGGAGCAAACAGG
rnacentral:rRNA from 1 species